CAAGUCGAACGAGACCUUCGGGUCUAGUGGCGCACGGGUGCGUAACGCGUGGGAAUCUGCCCUUUGCUUCGGAAUAACAGUUAGAAAUGACUGCUAAUACCGGAUGAUGUCGAAAGACCAAAGAUUUAUCGGCAAAGGAUGAGCCCGCGUAGGAUUAGGUAGUUGGUGGGGUAAAGGCCUACCAAGCCGACGAUCCUUAGCUGGUCUGAGAGGAUGAUCAGCCACACUGGGACUGAGACACGGCCCAGACUCCUACGGGAGGCAGCAGUGGGGAAUAUUGGACAAUGGGCGAAAGCCUGAUCCAGCAAUGCCGCGUGAGUGAUGAAGGCCUUAGGGUUGUAAAGCUCUUUUACCAGGGAUGAUAAUGACAGUACCUGGAGAAUAAGCUCCGGCUAACUCCGUGCCAGCAGCCGCGGUAAUACGGAGGGAGCUAGCGUUGUUCGGAAUUACUGGGCGUAAAGCGCACGUAGGCGGCUACUCAAGUCAGAGGUGAAAGCCCGGGGCUCAACCCCGGAACUGCCUUUGAAACUAGGUAGCUAGAAUCUUGGAGAGGUCAGUGGAAUUCCGAGUGUAGAGGUGAAAUUCGUAGAUAUUCGGAAGAACACCAGUGGCGAAGGCGACUGACUGGACAAGUAUUGACGCUGAGGUGCGAAAGCGCGGGGAGCAAACAGGAUUAGAUACCCUGGUAGUCCACGCCGUAAACGAUGAUAACUAGCUGUCCGGGCACUUGGUGCUUGGGUGGCGCAGCUAACGCAUUAAGUUAUCCGCCUGGGGAGUACGGCCGCAAGAUUAAAACUCAAAGGAAUUGACGG
rnacentral:rRNA from 1 species